CCUACGGGAGGCUGCAGUGAGGAAUAUUGGUCAAUGGACGCGAGUCUGAACCAGCCAUGCAGCGUGAAGGAUGACUGCCCUAUGAGUUGUAAACUUCUUUUAUAUGGGAAUAAAUUGUUCUACGUGUGGCAUUUUGUAUGUACCAUACGAAUAAGGAUCGGCUAACUCCGUGCCAGCAGCCGCGGUAAUACGGAGGAUCCAAGCGUUAUCCGGAUUUAUUGGGUUUAAAGGGUGCGUAGGUGGAUUGUUAAGUUAGAGGUGAAAUUUUGCGGCUCAACCGUGGAAUUGCAGUUGAGACUGGUAGUCUAGAGAGCAGUAGAGGUAGGCGGAAUGCGUGGUGUAGCGGUGAAAUGCUUAGAGAUCACGCAGAACUCCGAUUGCGAAGGCAGCUCACUGAGCUACAACUGACGUUGAGGCUCGAAAGUGUGGGGAUCAAACAGGAUUAGAUACCCUAGUAGUC
rnacentral:rRNA from 1 species